AUUGAACGCUGGCGGCAUGCCUUACACAUGCAAGUCGAACGGCAGCACGGGAGCAAUCCUGGUGGCGAGUGGCGAACGGGUGAGUAAAGUAUCGGAACGUGCCCAGUCGUGGGGGAUAACGUAGCGAAAGUUACGCUAAUACCGCAUACGAUCUAUGGAUGAAAGCGGGGGAUCGCAAGACCUCGCGCGAUUGGAGCGGCCGAUAUCAGAUUAGGUAGUUGGUGGGGUAAAGGCUCGCCAAGCCGACGAUCUGUAGCUGGUCUGAGAGGACGAACAGCCACACUGGGACUGAGACACGGCCCAGACUCCUACGGGAGGCAGCAGUGGGGAAUUUUGGACAAUGGGCGAAAGCCUGAUCCAGCCAUGCCGCGUGCAGGAUGAAGGCCUUCGGGUUGUAAACUGCUUUUGUACGGAACGAAAAGGUUUGGGCUAAUAAGCUGAGCUCAUGACGGUACCGUAAGAAUAAGCACCGGCUAACUACGUGCCAGCCGCCGCCGUAAGAC
rnacentral:rRNA from 1 species